UUUUACCACACUGAGGCUCCAAAAUCCCUCUUUAGCUCAUCCAUAUCUUGUGACAGCUGUUCUAAUUUUUGUGUUCAGAAGAUUGAAGUCAUUACGGAGUUAAAAAUAUAUGCAGAAAGAAAGUGGAUGGCAAAAGAAAGAAGCACCUGAACGGAGAAUGGUGAAAGGAAUGGACCUGCCACAGCUAACUGUCACAGUGGCUGCAGACUAGAUGCAGAAGGAAGUGGAUGUAAGCAAGGCAGGGAGAGCACAUGCUGCUUAGGCCACAGCUGAACACUCUUCUGUCCUCUGCAUUGCAUGUUCUCACAGCAGAAGAGACUUUGAAAAGUAUUCAGAACUCUCCCAGGAGAUUACUAGACGAGUAAAUGCUUCUGUUGUUCAAUCAUCUCCAUUUAUGUCAUCAGCAGAAACAAAUGUGUUGACAAGUCUUUCAUCAUAGGAACAACUUUUUUAUAAACUGAUGGAGAAUUAACUGUCAACUCUGAAGAUGAAUCCAGAUGAGCCUGGGCAAAUUUUGGGGUACGAUACUGCCCUUAGAGGCAGAAGACAUGUUAGUUCUCAGGUACUUUUCCUGUUUAAAAAGUAAAACUGGAAAAGUUUCACAGCUCCCAAACUCUCCCUUUAGCAUUUUACUAAAACAAAUAUUUGGUUUGUUUGUUUUCUACUGUAGGGGAGAGGGCUAUUGAGUAGGUAGCAUCAGAAAACAUCUCUCCAUAGAAAGAAAUAAUAUUCUCUGGCGUUCUCUCUCAAAUGUAAAAGCCUGUAACUCAGUCCACAUUUUUUUGUGCUGAAUUUCUCCAAACAAGAAGCAAAUAACAUGUUACUUACUUAUUUAUUACGACUGAUUUUUUUAUUGCAUUGGGUCAAAUAUAUCCGCAGAGAAACUACACUGCUAUCAAAGUUGUCCCCACGUAAGUGUAUUGUAAGAAGGUGAAAAGUUACACCCUGUCAUUGAUAUAUCCACAACACAUCCUAGUCUUUAAUCAAGUAGGAGUGACACUUAAAAAUAGUUCAAGAGCCUAAAGCGUUUUGCUAUCUGAACAGCAGAGGGCAAGUAAUUAACUCCAUUACUACAGCCCACCCACAGCAAAUAGAGGCAUUUUCACUUACAAAAUUAAGCACUUAAUGCUCUCAGGUUUUUUGCAGUAAUAUACUCUUGCAAUAUUGAUGUACUUUUAUACCAGUAUCUCCAUAAAUCUUUUUGGGUAUUAAAUGGCAAGUAUCAUACUGACAAUGUCUUGGAAUUCUCUUACCACAUUGCGUAAUAACAAUAAUCCCUGCUCUUUGACUGAAUACUUCUUGACAAUGGAAGAGAAGAGACCUUCUCCCAAGGAGAAGGUGGGAUGACUGUUUUACCCUAUAGGAUACACUCUUGCCGUGCAAACGUGCCAGAAAUCCUGAUGAAUUUCUCCAAGGCAAAUACUUUUUCAACAGCAUAAGAUUAGCAAAAUUGUGUACAUCACUUUGGCUUUUAGACCCUGGCAUGGGAAUACACAAUAAGCAUAUGAAGGUAAAUUGAUGAAAGGAAAUGGUAUGGCCACAUUCCUUUGAAGUCUAGCUAUUACUGGCAACAGUUGUGUAGUAGUAUAAGCUCAGGUAAUUGGGUGCUUCACUGCAAAGAUUUUAGGCAGGCUAAAUUGACAAUAAUAUCACAUCUGUGCUCCCACUGUCUUUGCUGUCAAUUAGGUAACUGUAAAGAUCAUCCAGUAGUGAGUCCAGUCUACUGUGAAAUGCAAGUUGUUUAACCAAAACUAGAACACAGUAAAACUAUGCACAUAAGAUAAACUUCCAAGUGAUUAAAACGAAAACAAAAUCUGACCAUAAAUAUACAGUAUGCCUGUGGGAAACAAGGGCACCACAUUACCACUAAAUACCUAAGAGAUGCUUAUCACUGUUAAUUCAGCAGUACGCAGCAUGCACAACCACAUGCUGAGGUGGGCAUGCAAAAAGGCAGACACACAAGGAUCCACUUUAUGUAGCUGCAAAAUAAAAAGGGCAUUUCAUUGGAACAACUCCUUGAUCUGCCAGAGUAGUUCAGGAAAUGUGAAUGUAAAGCAAGCUGGCAAACAUUGCAAGGAAAGCAGGGGAGGAGUAUGGCACAGGGGGAAGAAAAUCGAGCAGAUCCAGUUAACUUAAAGAAGCAUGUGCUACAUGCUAAAAGAGUGACCAACUAGUGUCCCUGAAAUCCAUCCACAUAGAUGAGGAUUUCAAACUCUAUAAGAGCAAAAAAAUAGUUAUGAAAAUCAAGUUAAAGGUUUCUACUAAAAUAGAACCUUUUCUGCUGCAAUAAAAUAUAAAAAGACUAAUAAGAACACUAGAAAUAUUACUCAGAACAAAAUUUUGGAAUA